rnacentral:rRNA from 1 species
AUUGAACGCUGGCGGCAUGCCUUACACAUGCAAGUCGAACGGCAGCACGGGGCAACCUGGUGGCGAGUGGCGAACGGGUGAGUAAUGUAUCGGAACGUACCAUUGAGUGGGGGAUAACGUAGCGAAAGUUACGCUAAUACCGCAUAUACCCCGAGGGGGAAAGCAGGGGAUCGCAAGACCUUGUGCUCUUUGAGCGGCCGAUAUCAGAUUAGCUAGUUGGUGGGGUAAAGGCUCACCAAGGCGACGAUCUGUAGCGGGUCUGAGAGGAUGAUCCGCCACACUGGGACUGAGACACGGCCCAGACUCCUACGGGAGGCAGCAGUGGGGAAUUUUGGACAAUGGGCGCAAGCCUGAUCCAGCCAUGCCGCGUGAGUGAAGAAGGCCUUCGGGUUGUAAAGCUCUUUCGGCCGGGAAGAAAUCGGUUGGGUUAAUACCCCAACUGGAUGACGGUACCGGAAUAAGAAGCACCGGCUAACUACGUGCCAGCCGCCGCGGUAAGAC